AACAUUGCCAACCCUCUUCAAGAACAAGCAGUCUGUUUACAAGCCACCUGAAAGGUCAGUUAGUCUGGAAGAACUGAGACAUGGUGCUUUUCCAUUCUCACAGGGCAUGCAUUCCAUAUCACUUUCAAUCAAGUCAACAAAUAAAUUAAGUGCUUAUUAAGUGUAUAUAAACAAACCCUACAUUCUAACUUUCCUGGGUAACAAAAAUAAAGAGACCCUCUUCUCAAAAAGCAAUACAUUUAUAACCUAUUUCUUAGACCAAGAUAUUUUAGACUGUCCUUUAAAACACCCAAUUUUGUC
rnacentral:lncRNA from 1 species